UGGGGAAUAUUGGACAAUGGGCGCAAGCCUGAUCCAGCCAUGCCGCGUGUGUGAAGAAGGCCUUUUGGUUGUAAAGCACUUUAAGCGAGGAGGAGGCUACUUGGAUUAAUACUCUAGGAUAGUGGACGUUACUCGCAGAAUAAGCACCGGCUAACUCUGUGCCAGCAGCUGCGGUAAUACAGAGGGUGCGAGCGUUAAUCGGAUUUACUGGGCGUAAAGCGUGCGUAGGCGGCUUCUUAAGUCGGAUGUGAAAUCCCUGAGCUUAACUUAGGAAUUGCAUUCGAUACUGGGAAGCUAGAGUAUGGGAGAAGAUGGUAGAAUUCCAGGUGUAGCGGUGAAAUGCGUAGAGAUCUGGAGGAAUACCGAUGGCGAAGGCAGCCAUCUGGCCUAAUACUGACGCUGAGGUACGAAAGCAUGGGGAGCAAACAGG
rnacentral:rRNA from 1 species